UACGGAGGGGGCUAGCGUUGUUCGGAAUUACUGGGCGUAAAGCGCACGUAGGCGGCUUUGCAAGUUAGAGGUGAAAGCCCGGGGCUCAACUCCGGAAUUGCCUUUAAAACUGCAUCGCUAGAAUUGUGGAGAGGUAAGUGGAAUUCUGAGCGUAGAGGUGAAAUUCGUAGAUAUUCGGAAGAACACCAGUGGCGAAGGCGACUUACUGGACACAUAUUGACGCUGAGGUGCGAAAGCGUGGGGAGCAAACAGG
rnacentral:rRNA from 1 species